rnacentral:tRNA from 1 species
GGUAGUAUGGCUGAAUAUAUAGGCGGCGGGUUGUAGCUCCGCGUACGAAGGUUCAAUUCCUUCUGCUACCA